rnacentral:lncRNA from 1 species
AGAAUGUCAGGAGACCCUGGCAGGAGUGGCUUUAAAACACUCCUGGAAUUUUAAGAGAAAGGAGCAGAAGAAAUAGAGUGGAAGGGAGUGGAUGGAGAUGGCAGAGGAGACACUGGAGAAGCCAUGUGGUCAUUGCUGAGCAGUCUCUAGGUCUAGGGCACAGAGUGCUGAGCAGACACAUGAAACCUGCCAUCCAGAGGAGACAGGCAGUCACUCACUUCAGUCCCCCCCCCUGAUGUCACUGACAGAGAACUGCCCUUUCUGUGGAGCCACAUUUCUGCCUUUUGGGGCAGUGGCCAUGGGAACAGAGGACAGGCAGGGAGGGAAGAACAAAGGUUUUAGUCUAGCUGGUUUGAGAAACAACAGAGGUGCAGUGGAGAGAUAGUGUUACCUCCUGAAGUGGCAGAGGA